AGUCUACCCCCCGGCCUUCUUUCUGCAACAAGUCCGUAGUACACGUGUUGUACACAACCUCUAGUUGAGUCACCCUUAUUUUAGGGGGGGAGCCGUCGGUGUUAUGGAGUAGGUGGAAAGCAAAGCAGCCACUAUCGACCAUACGCUUCCCCGAAUUGCCUUGUUAGUGAACCACAACGUAGCUCAGUCUUUAGGUCAUGCUAAUGUGCAUCAUACAGAGACCUAGCGGGACCCACAUGGCCCUUUGUAGGAGACUCCCCUCUAAAGCAU
rnacentral:lncRNA from 1 species